rnacentral:rRNA from 1 species
UAAACUAGGAUUAGAUACCCUAUUAUAUGAGUAAUAAAAACUAAUUCCACCUGAGAACUACGAACUAACAUUUAAAACUCAAAGGAUUUGGCGGUUUUUUAAACCUUACUGGAGGAGCUUGCUAUCAAACCGAUAAUCCACGAAAAACCUCACCAAUUUUUGAAAAUACAACCUGUAUACCAUCAUCGUCAGCCUACCCCUCAAGGAUAGUAUGCAAAAAGAGAGCCUCUCAUUACGUUAGAUCGAGGUGCAGUUUAUAAGUUGGGGAUAAGUGAGCUACAAUAAUAUAACAAACGAAAUACAAAUAUGGACAACCAAAUGAAAAAAAGUUACAAAUAGAAUUCAGUAGUAAUGACUUAACAGAAAAUAAGCAUGAAACAACAAAAAGCUCUAAAAUGCGCACACAUCGCCCGUCUGCUCUUAG